CCUCUCCACUCCCACAUAGUUUGCUUAUUGUGUAACUGACACAGGAGUUUUAUAAGAGUGUGUCCACAGCAGAGCUGCUAACAAACAGAGGGAGAGUUCAAAUAAUCACAGACUGACUCUUGUAUCUUCAUUUAACUCAACAGCGUUUAAUCCACAAACUGUUGAAUAUACAUGACCUCGGGGCGGGGGGGGGCAGCUCGCCUCCCUACACAGGCUUAUCCAUCACAACACAAACCUUAUCGCUGUCUUAUCUGGAUGUAUUAAAGGAUCAGCUGGCCAAUCGGCGUUUUUUGUUCUGCCGUUGUUGGCUCGCGUGUGUUGCCAUUGGCUGCGUCGUGUGUCGUCAUCGAUCCUCUGGGAGCAGAGAGGCGGAGAAACGAAGCCGGAAAUCAGUUUAAAAGCAGCGUUUGGACCGUUACCUCUGUUUGUCAGUGCUGUGAGAAAACUGAAUCCCAGAGGAAGCCUGGAUGUUAAAACAGACACUGGAGCUGCUUUUUAUCAAAUAAGAGUGAGACUGGACGCUGAACACACCUGCGGGGUGAAGGUGUCACCACUUCAUCCACGAUCACAGAGACAUGGUCCAUGAUCGGAGAGACGUUGUUGAGGAUGAGGGAGACAUCGUCCACGAUCAGAGACAUUGUCCGUGAUCUCAGAGACCUUGUCAAAGAUGAGAGAGACGUUGUCCUUGAUCAGAGACAUUGUCCCAUGCUUCGUAGAGACCUUGCGAUAGAAUCGGCGGAGACGGGGGUCACCGAUUUGACGGCACUGCCCGCGAUCAUGGAGACAUUGUCGAUGGUCACAGAGACAGCGUCUAUGAUCUCAGAGACAUCGUCCACGAUCACAAAGGCACUGUCCAUGAUCAGAGACUUUGUCCAUAAUCUCAGAGACAUUGUCCGCGAUCACAGAGACGUAGUCCACGAUCACAGAGAGUGUUUGAACAAUGAAGAAGUUCUUUGAGACCAGGACAGAGGCCUCCAGGUGUCACCACUUCGUCCUCGAUCACAGAGACAUGGUCCACGAUCACAGAGACAUGGUCCAUGAUCGGAGAGACGUUGUUGAGGAUGAGGGAGACAUCGUCCACGAUCAGAGACAUUGUCCGUGAUCGCAGAGACCUUGUCAAAGAUGAGAGAGACGUUGUCCUUGAUCAGAGACAUUGUCCCAUGCUUCGUAGAGACCUUGCGAUAGAAUCGGCGGAGACGGGGGUCACCGAUUUGACGGCACUGCCCGCGAUCAUGGAGACAUUGUCGAUGGUCACAGAGACAGCGUCUAUGAUCUCAGAGACAUCGUCCACGAUCACAAAGACACUGUCCAUGAUCAGAGACUUUGUCCAUAAUCUCAGAGACAUUGUCCGCGAUCACAGAGACGUAGUCCACGAUCACAGAGAGUGUUUGAACAAUGAAGAAGUUCUUUGAGACCAGAACUGAGGCCUCCAGGUGUCACCACUUCGUCCACCACAUCGUCCACGAUCACAGAGACAUGGUCCACGAUCGCAGAGACAUGGUCCAUGAUCGGAGAGACGUUGUUGAGGAUGAGGGAGACAUUGUCCACGAUCAGAGACAUUGUCCGUGAUCGCAGAGACCUUGUCAAAGACGAGAGAGGCGUUGUCCUUGAUCAGAGACAUUGUCCCAUGCUUCGUAGAGACCUUGCGAUAGAAUCGGCGGAGACGGGGGUCACCGAUUUGACGGCACUGCCCGCGAUCAUGGAGACAUUGUCGAUGGUCACAGAGACAGCGUCUAUGAUCUCAGAGACAUCGUCCACGAUCACAAAGACACUGUCCGCGAUCACAGAGACUUUGUCCAUAAUCUCGGAGACAUUGUCCGCGAUCACAGAGACGUAGUCCAUGAUCACAGAGGGUCUUUGAACAAUGAAGAAGUUCUUUGAGACCAGGACAGAAGUCUCCAGGUGUCACCACUUCAUCCACAAUCACAGAGACAUCGUCCACUAUCACAGACAGUCGUCAUACAAUGAAGUUCUUUGAGACCAGGACAGAAGUCUCCAGGUAAUUCACAAACACUUUUAAACAACUAUCCAACACAAAGCACUGACAUUCAAUUGUUUAUGUUCAGCAUUCAGUAAAUUAGAAAAGGGUAAUAAUAGAAGUAAUCUGAAAUAAAAAAAUAAUGUUUUAGUAAACUAUUAAUAGAAGUAACAUCAAAGUAAUUAGCAAUGUCAAACGUGA